AGGACAGUGGAUGACAGGGAAGACGAGUGGGGGCAGAGCUGCUCAGGACCAUGGCUGAGGCCAUCACCUAUGCAGAUCUGAGACCCAGGGGCUGAUGAUGAUGGGGAAAUCACCUACGAGAAUGUUCAAGUGCCCGCAGUCCUAGGGGUGCCCUCAAGCUUGGCUUCUUCUGUACUAGGGGACAAAGCAGCGGUCAAGUCGGAGCAGCCAACUGCGUCCUGGAGAGCCGUGACGUCACCAGCUGUCGGGCGGAUUCUCCCCUGCCGCACAACCUGCCUGCGAUACCUCCUGCUCGGCCUGCUCCUCACCUGCCUGCUGUUAGGAGUGACCGCCAUCUGCCUGGGAGUGCGCUCCUGUGAUGCAAAAAGUUGCAAGAAGCAGAAAAAGGGCUGAUGCUGCAGUCUCAGGGCACUAGGGCAGGGCUGGAGAAGACAUCCACCAAAUCUCUGUGGCCAAACAGAUCUGCAGGUGUCUCAGCAGCUCCAGCAGACGAACAGGGUUCUGGAAGUCACUAACAGCAGCCUGAGGCAGCAGCUCCGCCUCAAGAUAACGCAGCUGGGACAGAGUGCAGAGGAUCUGCAGGGGUCCAGGAGAGAGCUGGCGCAGAGUCAGGAAGCACUACAGGUGGAACAGAGGGCUCAUCAGGCGGCCGAAGGGCAGCUACAGGCCUGCCAGGCAGACAGACAGAAGACGAAGGAGACCUUGCAAAGUGAGGAGCAACAGAGGAGGGCCUUGGAGCAGAAGCUGAGCAACAUGGAGAACAGACUGAAGCCCUUCUUCACAUGCGGCUCAGCAG
rnacentral:lncRNA from 1 species